UAGGGAAUUUUCGUCAAUGGGCGCAAGCCUGAACGAGCAAUGCCGCGUGAGUGAGGAAGGUCUUCGGAUCGUAAAGCUCUGUUGGCGGGGGAAAAAGGAAGCAGAAAGGAAAUGGUCUGCUUUUGAUGGUACCCCGCCAGAAAGUCACGGCUAACUACGUGCC
rnacentral:rRNA from 1 species